rnacentral:rRNA from 1 species
GGAACCUUGCGUUCCAUUAGCUAGUUGGUGGGGUAAAGGCCUACCAAGGCGAUGAUCGAUAGCUGGUCUGACAGGAUGAUCAAUCCCACUGGGACUGAAACACGGCCCAAACUCCUACGGGAGGCAGCAGUGGGGAAUAUUGGACCUGGGCGCAAGCCUGAUCCAGCAAUGCCGCGUGUGUGAAGAAUGUUUUCGGAUUGUAAAGCUCUUUCAGCGGGGACGAUGAUGACGGUACCCGCUUAAGAAGCCCCGGCUAACUUCGUGCCAGCAGCCGCGGUAAUACGAAGGGGGCAAGCGUUGCUCGGAAUGACUGGGCGUAAAGGGCGCGUACGCGGUUGACACAGUCAGGUGUGAAAUUCCCGGGCUUAACCUGGGGUCUGCAU